rnacentral:rRNA from 1 species
ACGAACGCUGGCGGCGUGCCUAAUACAUGCAAGUAGAACGCACAGUUUAUACCGUAGCUUGCUACACCAUAGACUGUGAGUUGCGAACGGGUGAGUAACGCGUAGGUAACCUGCCUGGUAGCGGGGGAUAACUAUUGGAAACGAUAGCUAAUACCGCAUAAUAUUAAUUAUUGCAUGAUAAUUGAUUGAAAGAUGCAACUGCAUCACUACCAGAUGGACCUGCGUUGUAUUAGCUAGUAGGUGAGGUAACGGCUCACCUAGGCGACGAUACAUAGCCGACCUGAGAGGGUGAUCGGCCACACUGGGACUGAGACACGGCCCAGACUCCUACGGGAGGCAGCAGUAGGGAAUCUUCGGCAAUAGACGAAAGUCUGACCGAGCAACGCCGCGUGAGUGAAGAAGGUUUUCGGAUCGUAAAGCUCUGUUGUAAGAGAAGAACGGGUGUGAGAGUGGAAAGUUCACACUGUGACGGUAUCUUACCAGAAAGGGACGGCUAACUACGUG